rnacentral:rRNA from 1 species
AUUGAACGCUGGCGGCAGGCCUAACACAUGCAAGUCGAACGCGUGGCGGACGGGUGAGUAAUGUCUGGGAAACUGCCUGAUGGAGGGGGAUAACUACUGGAAACGGUAGCUAAUACCGCAUACCAUCAGAUGUGCCCAGAUGGGAUUAUCUUGUUGUGGGGGUGACGGCUCACCAAGGCGACGAUCCCUAGCUGGUCUGAGAGGAUGACCAGCCACACUGGAACUGAGGCACGUUCCAUACUCCUACGGUAGGCGGCAGUGGGGAAUAUUGCACAAUGGGCGCAAGCCUGAUGCAGCCAUGAAGCGUGUAUGAAGAAGGCCUUCGGGUUGUAAAGUACUUUCAGCGGGGAGGCGUUACCCGCAGAAGAAGCACCGGCUAACUCCGUGCCAGCAGCCGCGGUAAUAC